rfam:Brassica napus, WGS project CCCW01000000 data, contig: 2591
AGAAUAUAAGAACCUGUCUCUUAACUUUUAAUUAAAAAAAAGUUAGGAACCGACUCUUAAAUAAGAGUUUUAAGAAUUGGUUCUUAACUUUUUUAGUUAAGAGACGGAUUCUUAUAUUCC